UCUAUUUUGGAAUUAUUGGUUUCACUAUGGUGCAAUAUAUUCCGGAUUUACUUGAUUUUGUAAUGCCUUUAAAUGAAUCUCGUCCACGUAUACUUCUCCAUCAGGCGAAAAAUUUUAUCGACCACCAAAAAUAUUUUCAUAUCUUAAUAAUACAUGAUGUUAUUGGGAUACUCCUUGUUGGAACUACUGGAAUAGCUGCUGAAUCAUUUUCAUUAGUAAACGCAAUACAUGCUUUCGGAAUGUUUAAAAUUGCUAGUUAUCGUAUGGAACGUAUGUUAAGCAUAGAUGUUUCACAAAUAUCCAUAGCUAAAAGCUAUACUAUAUUCCAUGAUAGGCUAAAUGCCGCAGUGGACAUUCACAGAAGAGCGCUUAAGUUUUCGGACUUAUUAAAAGUAAGCAUGGGACCAUCGUAUCUACUUAUGAUGGUAACAGCUAUAUGUUCAGCAAUAGUUUCUUUCUUUCGUCUAUUUCGAAUAGUGACGCUGCAUCAGGAAAAAAUGGAAAUUAUUAAAUUAAUUUGUUAUGUGAUUUUUAUUUUUUUAUUUUUAGUUAUAGGUAAUUUUGUUGGGCAAGAAUUUAUAAAUCACGACGAGCAUGUCCAUCACACGAUGUAUGUCAUGUAUUUAAUAUAUCCUUUUACAACCCGUAAUAUUGCAUCAAAAAUUUGUACAUACCUAUAUCGGUUCUAUAUAAAAAUAUGAUGUAAUACGAAAUGGUACCAGACCCCGUUAAAGAUACAAAAAUUUGUACUUUUUGUGAUGAGAAAAACUACAAAAACUUACAAAGUUGAUGCUGGUGGUUUGUUUAGUCCCUCUUUGGAAAGUUUGGCCACGAGCAUGAGUUUAAUGCUUUCGUGUCUGACGCUUUUAUGUUCCAUACAACAAUAAUUUCAGUUGUAAAAGAUACAUCGAUAAAUUUUAUAAUCUUAUGGAGACACAUGAUAAUGUUAUUGGAUCUCUCGCAAUCAUAUCAAUUUUAACAAAAUAUUUUUAAUAAGCAAUGUGAUUAAAGAUUUUAAUUAAAAAAAUAUUAUCUUGAUUCCUUUGUUUCUAACUUUACACUGUUUCGUACACACACACACACACACACACAACUAUGUAUAUUUCUCAUAACCGUUUUCGAAUAAAAAUAUUUCUUGUAUUAUAUUGUGCCAAAUAAAAACAAUA